rfam:Erinaceus europaeus cont1.240313, whole genome shotgun sequence.
UUACAAAAGGAAAAACACAGGGAAAUGGAGAGGUCUCACGUGCACAGUGUCACCGAGCCUCGGGUCCCAGGCUGUGCCCCCUG